AACUCUUCAGUUCUCAUGGUGCAUUUCUUUUGUUUCUGCAUUACACUCAGUUUGUUAGUUGCUGCAGAUGUGUAAGGUUUCGCAUCCGUGCAGGCUCUCUCUACCUCGUGCUUCAUCAGGAGAGCAUAGGCCUUAUUUCUUUGUACUAUGUAAUAAAGAACCAGUGUAUAAAAUUACUUGAAAAACAUCUUUUGAAGCUGGAAAUGGUGGCCCAUGCCUAUAAUCUCAUUGCUAUUGAGAUGGGAGUAGGGGGAUGAGAAGUUCAAAGCUAGCUUCAGGUACAUAGCAAGUUCAAGUUCCAACUUGGGCUACAUGAGAUCCUGUAUUCAAAAACACAAAGUUGAAAACAAUCAAAGAAACAAAACACCUCACUUUAGGUUGAUUGGAGGUCAAGUCUGAAACGAUUUGAUGAGUAGAGGAGCCCAUGGUGAUAGGAGUCACGUUUUAUCUCUCAGGGUCUUCUCUACUGGGUUGUAUUCCCUCCUUGUGUUCCCCGAUUAUCCCUGUUCAUUGCGCUAGGGGCUUUAAUGUUGGUGUAGGCUGGUAAUUUUUAUUCUUUCUGCUCUCCUUUCCAGUGUGGUAGAAGGACUCACAUAUAGGCUGGAGAGUGGGUUUUCCUUAUGUUUACUGGAAGAGUUGGUGCAGAACUGACUCAAGGAACUUUGAAGUUUCCAUUCAGCUUUUUGAAAGACCAUAUUCUUUUGUUCUGUGAGAACAGAAUUUUAUGAACUAGUUUUGGUGAAUUAAAUUCUAUUUUUUAAAAAUUGGUGUUUUGUUGAAUACAUUUUUUAAAUUCCUGGCAUUUACUGUUCUCUUGUUAUUUCUGCUGAACAUAUAGUUUAUUACCUUUUAGCAAUAAACCUUUGCAAUUUUUUUUUUUUGAAAAAGGGUUUCAUGUAGCCCAGGCUAACCUUGAACUCCUGGCCUUUUGGCUCUAUCUCCAAAGUGCUGAAAUUCUAGGUGUGGAACAUUACACCUGCCAUGUAGAGAUAUCUAAGCCAUUUAAUGUCUUUACUUUCUCAUUAUAUCAUGCAAAGAAUGUCUAUUCAUUGUGUUCCUAUAUUAUCUAUGCUUAAAUCUGUUUUAAAUGUAUACAGACAUACAGUUAAUAAUAUAAUAUAGUUUUGUAUUUCCAUGAACGCACGCUUUUGUCUUUUUUCAUUGUUUAUGCAUCUAUCCUAAAUCUCCUGGUCUAGUUCCCGUUUCCUAAGUGUGUUCUUUGAUGAAGUACAAUAAGGUGGGGUUUGUUGUUGUUGUUGUUGUUUUGUAUGAAAUAUUAUGCUUAUUUUGAAGGAACUUUAAAUAGCCAGUAGGCUAUCAUCUUAUUGCAUUGUUCAAAAGCAGACUUACUAAGACAAAUUUAAUAUGCAAUUUUUCUCAUCAAAUGCCAGUCAGUACAUAGUUUGGAAUGUCUCUAAGGCUGUUUAUUUUAUAUGUUUAUUUAGUUGAUCAAGAGCACCUUGUAGAAUAUGCAGAAUCUUUUCUUGAUUACAAGUCCUCUCCCUCCUUUUUUCUCUUACUCCCCUCAUUUCCAUAGUUUGAUUUUCAGAAGAUUUUUUUGUCCUUGCCCUGGCUGGCUUUGAACUCUCUACUCGGCUGAGGGUGGCCUUGAACUCCUCCUUAUCUUGCUGCCUCAGCCUCUGGGUUGGCCAGCCUCUGAUAAGAAGCCCAGUUGAUGUUUCUUUCAGUUUUUCUGUUUUGUUUUGUUGUUGUUUUGUUUUGUUUGUUCACUUUUUUUUCUGAGUCAGGGUCUUACUGUGUAGCCCUGGCUGUCCUGGAACUCACUCUGUAGACCAGGUUGGCCUCGAACUCAGAGUCCACUUCCUCUGCCUCCAGAGGGCUGGGAUUAAAUAUUGGCUUGCGUUGUAGUUUUUCCUUUUCCCCCAUGGUUAUUCUAGUGCUUCCAAGUAGUUGUCCAUUAACUACUUCUAUUAAGUUUCUAGUAGUUGCUCAUUAACUAUUUUCCCAACUUUAUGAUCUCAAAACAAUAUAGUUAUAGUCAUCCUUGGUAUUAAAAGCCCUACAGGGCAUUUGGGCAGCAAUCCCCCCAAAAGCCUCUUUUCUUUGAAAAUUACCAAGUCAAUUAAGAAAAGAAAUUGUUACAUUCUGGGAUUUUAGCCAGCUUUCCAUUUUUGUGAAUGGAAAUGAAUGCAUGAUCAAUGUAACUAGAAACACAAAUGUGAUCUGGGAGCUUGGCUUUGCCCUGGGGUGGGAUUGUGUCUCUCGGAGAUCUUGUUGCACAAGCCCAUGCAGAACGUUUCAGCAUUCAUAUGCUUAUUUCCAUGAUCACAACAAAUUAACAACAACAAUUUGAACAAGAUGCACGUAUCCUCGUAGUGAGCAGUUUAUGUGCACCUGCCAUAGGUGAAGAACUCACCUGGGACCUGAAAACAAAGACAUGAAUGGAACAUUAAUUCUGUAAGAAAGAGGUGAAUGAGAAAAGGCUUGCGGUAAUUGUUAAUACUGUGAUAUCACAGAACCCGAGAGGCAAAGACAUUGAGGUAGGGGCCUGGAUGAGCGGACCCAUCCUGCAUGAAAAGUCCUAAGAGCUGACAAAGCACAAAGUGUACUGACUAUCUCCUGAGCUCUGGGCCAGUAUUGGAUGCACACAGACUCUACCAUCUGUGACAUUGGUUCCUAUACCAAGUAGUUACUAAGUCUUUUCUUCAAUCCAUACUUUUGGCUGGUCAAUGAUUAAUGUUAAUAAGGAUCUAAUAUUAAUAGCCUAAGCACUAAGCCAAUAUCUACUCUAAAAGUGAGUCUUAUCUGCUUAUAAAAUUUCUACAUAGAAAUUAUAUCAGGCCUAUAGAAUGGAUAGGUGCUCUGUCAGAAAGAAUUGGCUGAAAAAAGAAAAAUAAAGAUUAAAAGUGCUUUUCCUAAGGCUGAACAGGAUGGCAUGUGCUUUUAAUCCCAGCGCUCUAGAAGCAGAGACAGGAGUCUCUCCUGUGAGGUCAAGGCCAGUGUGGUUUACCUAGUAAGUUCUAGGCCAGCCAGGACCUCAAAGUUAGACAAUUGAGGUCACUCUUAGCUAUUAGAGUGAGUUCUAGACUACUCUACCCUGGUGUAGCAGGUACAAAGAAUAAUACCAAUUCUUUCUAACUUCAAGGAAACAGUGUUUAAUAAAAGUAUUAAAUACAAAAAUAGAAAUUAAUAAUGUGUCAUUAUGAAUAAUGAAAGUAUAAGUUAAGAGAAUCUAAUCUCAUUUCUGUUUGCUCACUGAUACUCUCUUCCUAAAAUGCCAGCUUCCACCGUUCACCCACAACUCUCCAAGAAUAUUCUUUUCUCUCUAUUUAGCAGAAUCACUGACCUUCAAAAUUCUCUCUUCCUGACAACACAGUUCUCCGGGGAUGAUGUCAGUAAGAGUUUCAGGGUUGUAUUCAGAACGCAGCAACUUUAAACAACAGGAUCAUUGAGUUUAGUGGACCAGUAGCUAGCCUAAAGUUCAGGCUGGCUCACAGCUUGUUGUCAUGGGAGGUAGGUGUAAGAUGCUAACUGUUCCUCCUCCCACAGCUGCAGCUGAGGGAUGGCAUCUCCACAACUGACAGAUAUCUUCCACACUAUGAUGGCUCUCAAUGAAGGAUGCGAACAAAGGCUCUACUGGUUCUUUUAUUAUAAAUAUUUAGAAUACAACUAAUUUUCUUCUAUAUCAGUUGGUGAGCUUGACUCUCCUAUGUUUUUUUUAAUAUUUAGGAAAUAUUUUCUGUUUUAUAUAUAAAUACCCUCAGCAUUAGGUUAGUUUAAGGAAUGGAGGAAUUUUAUCUGAUAUUUGAAUUGCAUACAGAAUUUGAGCCUAUGUUGAUUAGACUUAGUAUUUCUUUUUAAGAUAAACAUCUUCUCAGGUCUUUGAGCCUAGCAGAAUUCAUGUUCCUUUUGUCUCUCGUUAUAGCUGUCUCUUUCAUUUUUUCUGACAGAAGUGUAGAGAUCUGACUAAUAGUAAAAAUGUCUGGUUGGCCAGGCAGUGGGCAAUGGUGGCAUAAACCUUUAAUCUGCCUUUAAUCCCAGCACUAGGGAGGUAGAGGCAAGCAUGUCUCUGUGAGUUUGAGGCCAGCCUGGUCUACAGAGUGAGUUCUAGGACAGCCAUGGCUACCCAGAAAAGCCAUGUCUUGAAAAAAAAAAGAAGAAGAAGAAGAAGAAGAAAGAAAAAGAAAG
rnacentral:lncRNA from 1 species